UGUUGAGGGGUGCAACCAAAUACUCUUGAUAUUUUCGUCUUCGGCGCCGUUUAAAUACAAAAAUACUAUGUCACCUUCAUCACUGGACAAAAUUUUCGUCAAUGGUCGAACAAAUUUUUUUAUUAUUUCCGUGUGAACUAGGUGUGUUUGAAAUAUGUUGAAGAUCUCUGAAGGCUUGGCCUGGUGGUUAAGGUGUUCGCACUGGGCGCUAACUCGAAGGAGGGCUCAGAUUCCCUGAUGGACUAACAAAGUGUACUAAUGGCUGGUUGCCUGCAGCCUUUGCAGAUGGGAUGAACAGCUCCAUAGUGCCUGUUGAACGUGUGCAAACAGUCGACUACUCGGAAAUCACUGAACAACAGAUCCAGUGUAAAAGGUUACCACACUUAGGAGAAAAGGGAGAGAAAACCAAGUUUGCUUAAAGCCAAUGGUUACUUGAAGUUGAAGGCAGAUGGUAAGUUUUUUUGUCCUGUUAGCUGAGCUUCACUAGGCUGUACUGGAAUUUUGCCUUGGAUUGGAUCAAGGAAAAUACUGUAGUUUAGUGCAUAAAGUUUAUAAAAAUGAUACUGGAAUGUUAAACUGACAGUUCUGUGUGUGUAUGUAAUUGUACUUGUUUUUGUUUUUUUGGUGAAUGUUAACUAGUUAUAACAGUGUGGUUAUUAACACACUUGCUAUGGGCUCAGCGGAAUCAGUCAGGUUCAUGACCCCAAACUGACAUUAAUAAUUUCUAUUCUAUAACUUCUAAUACAUUUCGUGUAUCUUCAUGAAAUUUUGUAAGCUUUCAGUGAGCACUAAGAGUCUUUUACAGACAAAAAUUUAAAAUUUCUUUAUGAAGUAUUUUCACUAAAUACUUCUCCAUGAAUAUAUGGUGUCAAGAUAUUGACUUUGCUUCAUCUGAAAAUUCUCAAAUGCAUUUGAGUAAUCUCUAAAACCUCCUCAAUAAAUUUCAGA